GAGUUUGAUCGUGGCUCAGGACGAACGCUGGCGGCGUGCCUAACACAUGCAAGUCGAACGGGGCAGAGAGCUUUGGUUUUCUGCUUAGUGGCGAACGGGUGAGUAACGCGUGAAGAACCUGCCUUCCAGUGGGGGACAACAGUUGGAAACGACUGCUAAUACCGCAUAAGCCCACAGCACCGCAUGGUGCAGAGGGAAAAGGAGCAAUUCGCUUCAGGAUGGCCUCGCGUCCAAUUAGGUAGAUGGUGAGGUAACGGCCCACCAUGCCGACGAUUGGUAGCCGGACUGAGAGGUUGAACGGCCACAUUGGGACUGAGACACGGCCCAGACUCCUACGGGAGGCAGCAGUGGGGGAAUAUUGCACAAUGGGGGAAACCCUGAUGCAGCGACGCCGCGUGGAGGAAGAAGGUUUUCGGAUUGUAAACUCCUGUCUUCGGGGACGAUAAUGACGGUACCCGAGGAGGAAGCCACGGCUAACUACGUG
rnacentral:rRNA from 1 species